rnacentral:lncRNA from 1 species
UCACAUUUAACCCUGCGUCCGCCGCCCCUUUCAAUCCCACCCAGAAGCUUCAGAAUUCCGCCAUCGGUAGUCCCUGUCCCCAAUCACCGGCCUUCUUCUUGCGAUCGAUCGGACCAAGGAUGUCGCUCACCCCCUUCGGAUUCGGCCCUCGGCGGAGCAACAUCUUCGAUCCCUUCUCCCUCGACCUCUGGGACCCCUUCGAAGGCUUCCCCUUCGAUUCCAACCUCUCGUUCCCCCGGAUCCCCUUCCCCACCUCCUCCUACGCCGGCGCAGCCUCGGCGUUCGCCGCUGACACUCGCAUCGACUGGAAGGAGACUCCGGAG